rnacentral:rRNA from 1 species
UGCCCUAGUAACGGCGAGUGAAGCGGCAACAGCUCAAAUUUGAAAGCUAGCCUUCGGGUUCGCAUUGUAAUUUGUAGAGGAUGAUUUGGGGAAGCCGCCUGUCUAAGUUCCUUGGAACAGGACGUCAUAGAGGGUGAGAAUCCCGUAUGUGACAGGAAAUGGCACCCUAUGUAAAUCUCCUUCGACGAGUCGAGUUGUUUGGGAAUGCAGCUCUAAAUGGGAGGUAAAUUUCUUCUAAAGCUAAAUAUUGGCGAGAGACCGAUAGCGCACAAGUAGAGUGAUCGAAAGAUGAAAAGCACUUUGGAAAGAGAGUUAAAAAGCACGUGAAAUUGUUGAAAGGGAAGCGCUUGCAAUCAGACUUGUUUAAACUGUUCGGCCGGUCUUCUGACCGGUUUACUCAGUUUGGACAGGCCAGCAUCAGUUUCGGCGGCCGGAUAAAGGCUCUGGGAAUGUGGCCUCCACUUCGGUGGAGGUGUUAUAGCCCAGGGUGUAAUACGGCCAGCCGGGACUGAGGUCCGCGCUUCGGCUAGGAUGCUGGCGUAAUGGUU